CAGACUGGGAUAGGGAGAGAUUGAAUAUAUCUGUAAACACACCAACCAGCUGGUCUGUGCAUGCUCUGAGGCCGCGGCUAGGGAAACCAUCUGGGCCGGCAGCCUUGCAUGCCUUGUUAACGUGCUUAAACGUCUUACAUCUUGUAACGGUCGUCGUAUGAAGGAGAAGAGGAGGACCAAUGCGCAGCGUGGGUUAACUUUUUCUUCUCAGGCCCAGACAGCCCACACAGCCACAUUCCAGUACGCUUCCAGCAUGGCCUGCCUUCCACAGCAGCCUCCUCCCCAACUCUGGGGUCAGGAGUUCUGGGUGGUGUCCUGGGCUUUGUGGUCCAUGGGUCAUUGAAGUCAAUGCGCGGCUCCUUGCUGUGUCUUGUCCACCAUGUCAGGCGAUGGAGCUGCAGGGGGAUUGAAGAGGGGAAGAAUGAAUAGGUUAUAACAUGUAACAAAAUGUGUACAUGUUCUUUUCUUUUAACUGAAAUUAAUCUCAUAAGUAACAGCAUAUAUUUUGCAAGUCUGUUUAAUGUUUAUGAUUAAUACAUGUGGCACUCUUACAUGGUGCUCUGGAAUGGCCGGAGUGCAGAGGCUGACAGCAGUGAUGACCAGGCCAGUGAGAGCCAGGAGGAUAAGAGCAAAGUACAGGUAGUGGACAUCCCUGAUGAAGGCUGGCCGUAUGUCUAUCUCUCCACAAGAUGGGGUGCCAUACACAAACACCAGCACCAUCUGCACCAAGCCAACAGCAAGGCCCACGAUCAGACCCCAGAAGGCUCCCUGUGUUAACGGUCAUCCACAUUGAACGCACACACAAAGGGACAGUGUUUUGUAUCAAAUCUCAACAAUGUGCUUUAUGACAUAAUAACAAAUAAUGGCAUAAAACCCUUGAUCUGACCUGCUCAUUGACACGCCUCCAGAAGAUGGCCAUGAUGAAGACAGCAGUGAUGGGAGGAGCCAGGUAGCUGGUGAUGGCCUGGAUGUAGUCAAACAGCUGUCCACUGUUGGCUGACUGGAUAAUGGGGAUCCACAGAAUGCUGAGCACCACCAUUACUAAGAUGAACACCCUGCAGGUGAUGACCACAAACAGGAGCGAUGCCUCCUGCUGCUCCAGUGCCAGCUAGUCCAAUGAACAAACCACUGCCAACAUUACUGGACAUCAGAGAGGCCCCAAUCUGAGACAGCAGAACAAAAUGUACUUCAUUUUGUCCAUUUUUAUCUUUGGAUAUAGAUAGCUAUUAUCAGUAUCAACUAUUUCCAUCCAAUUAUUUAAUGUUAUAAAAGAAACAACUUUCCUAAUUUAAAAUAGAUGAUAAUACUUAAUAGUCUGGAUCAUGAUUAACUUUUUAUCUAGUUGACAUACUAAUUUCUUCACUAAUGUUCAGUUCAAUGCAUAGAGUUUAUUUGAGUUCAAUGCAUUGAGUUCAAUACCAUCAUAAUCUCAGGCUACUUACAGGCCACCAUGUCAUGGAUCUUCCAGCCAAGAAGUAUCCACCCACCGUCCCACGGUUUGCCCUGACAGAAGACUGCGAUAAAGAGUUAAUUUACAUCAUACAUCAAACUAUACUGUCUGUAGAUAUUAGUUACAGCAAAGCCUUCUCAAUGACAUUGCUUUAUACUUAUUAUUUAGUCAAUAUUUCAUUUAUUUGAACAACAGAUUUUGUGAGAGGAAGAAUUCUGAUGAAUUAAUCUCCACAGUACAACUUCAGUGUUAGGUCUGCCCUCUUCAUACAAUGAAAGCAUCCACCAGG